AACGAACGCUGGCGGCAUGCCUAACACAUGCAAGUCGAACGAGACCUUCGGGUAUCGUGGCGCACGGGGGCGUAACGCGUGGGAACGUGCCCUUAGGUUCGGAAUAACUCCCCGCAAGGGGUGCUAACACCGGAUAAUGUCUUCGGACCAAAGAUUUAUCGCCUGUGGUUGGGCCCGCGUUGGAUUAGCUAGUUGGUAGGGAAAAAGCCUACCAAGGCGACGACCCAUAGCUGGUCAGAGAGGGUGAUCAGACACACUGGGACUGAGACACGGCCCAGACUCCUACGGGAGGCAGCAGUGGGGAAUAUUGGACAAUGGGCGAAAGCCUGAGCCAGCAAUGCCGCGUGAGUGAUGAAGGCCUGAGGGUUGUAAAGCUCUUUUACCCGGGAUGAUAAUGACAGUACCGGGAGAAUAAGCUCCGGCUAACUCCGUG
rnacentral:rRNA from 1 species